AUGACUAUCGCUAACCUGGAAGCUCGCUACUAUUGGCCACAACUAAAGAGAGAUGCUGGAAAGUUUGUUCAACGGUGCCCCGUGUGUCAGACCUACAAAGGCCAAGUCCAGAACACAGGGUUAUACAUGCCUUUGCCUGUUCCUGUUGCUCAAUGGGAGGACAUUUCUAUGGAUUUCGUCUUGGGCUUUCCAAGAACAAGACGAGGAAGUGAUGUUGUACUUGUGGUCGUGGAUAGAUUAUCUAAGAUGGAGCAUUUCAUCCCAUGCCGCAAGACAACAGAUGCUCAUCAUGUGGCAAACCUAUUCUUUCGAGAAGUGGCCAGACUUCAUGGAGUUCCAAGGUCCAUUGUCUCAGACCGUGAUAGCAAGUUUCUUGCUGCAUUUUGGCUCACUUUGUGGAAGCAAUUCAACACUGAAUUGAUGUUUUCUAGCACUGCUCAUCCACAAACAGAUGGACAAAUGGAAGUG
rnacentral:rRNA from 1 species